GGGGAAUAUUGGGCAAUGGGCGAAAGCCUGACCCAGCCACGCCGCGUGAGUGAUGAAGGCCUUCGGGUUGUAAAGCUCUGUGGGAAGGGGCGAAAGGCAUAUAGAGUAAUAUGAUAUAUGUUUGACGGUACCUAUUUAGCAAGCACCGGCUAACUCUGUGCCAGCAGCCGCGGUAAGACAGAGGGUGCGAACGUUGCUCGAAAUUACUGGGCGUAAAGCGCGUGUAGGCGGACAAGAAAGUCGGAUGUGAAAGUCCUGGGCUCAACCUAGGAAGUGCACCCGAAACUGAUUGUCUAGAGUGAUGGAGAGGAGAGCGGAAUUCCUGGUGUAGAGGUGAAAUUCGUAGAUAUCAGGAGGAACAUCGGUGGCGAAGGCGGCUCUCUGGACGUAAACUGACGCUGAGACGCGAAAGCGUGGGUAGCAAAC
rnacentral:rRNA from 1 species